UGUUGGAUAGUCAUAGCCAGCUAGCUAACAUAGCAUCUGUCUGUUUGAGUAGGUUAAACUAGCUAGCUGCACUCGCUAGCUAAGUUUGGUCUACAUGAAGCAUCAUCUUUACAGAGAAUGAGACAGAGCAACAGAGACAGCAUUCAUCUGAUUUCAUCUCAUCACUAAUGCCCAAAAGGUCACAAGGUACAGGGGAGCUGGAUGGGGUACCUUGCCCGUGUGUCAGACAAGAUGGACUUGCUUCAUUCCUUUCCAUACAUAAAGAAGCUGUCUCAAACUCAACACAUGCCUGCCUGCCUUUGCCGCCUGUGAGCGUCUUUUUACAUGUGCUGGACUACUCUUCACUGCAAAGCGAGCCAGGAAAGACUAGAUUCACUUUGAAAAUCAGCUCCUGCUAAAACAGAACAGAAAGUUCAGAGAGAAGGGAAGGCGUUAGCCCAACAUCAACAUAUAUGAAAAUGGCGAGUUUCUAUGUUUUGUAGUAUAAAAGAUAAAGGUCUCAGUAAAACGGCAAACUAUCAGCCAUCGGUCUGGAUGUCUCCUGUCUCUUAUACACACUGGCUGGCUGGAUGGAUGGAUGAAAAGUCCCUGGCGAUGCUGCCACGGCCACAUGUGCUCCCACCUGAUGGUGCGGAGAACUAGGGAUGUCAAAAUGGAAGGAGAGAGGUGGGGAUGGGAGAGAGAUGGACCAGAGCAGGGAGUGAGAGAGAGGGAGAAGAGAAU
rnacentral:lncRNA from 1 species